GUGGGGAAUCUUAGACAAUGGGGGCAACCCUGAUCUAGCCAUGCCGCGUGAUCGAUGAAUGCCUUAGGGUUGUAAAGAUCUUUCAGCUGGGAAGAUAAUGACGGUACCAGCAGAAGAAGCCCCGGCUAACUCCGUGCCAGCAGCCGCGGUAAUACGGAGGGGGCUAGCGUUGUUCGGAAUUACUGGGCGUAAAGCGCACGUAGGCGGAUUGGAAAGUUGGGGGUGAAAUCCCGGGGCUCAACCCCGGAACUGCCUUCAAAACUCCCAGUCUUGAGGUCGAGAGAGGUGAGUGGAAUUCCGAGUGUAGAGGUGAAAUUCGUAGAUAUUCGGAGGAACACCAGUGGCGAAGGCGGCUCACUGGCUCGAUACUGACGCUGAGGUGCGAAAGCGUGGGGAGCAAACAGGAUUAGAAACCCUUGUAGUCC
rnacentral:rRNA from 1 species